rnacentral:rRNA from 1 species
UACGAAGGGUGCAAACGUUGCUCGGAAUUAUUGGGCGUAAGACGCACGUAGGCGGCUUUGCAAGUCCCAUGUGAAAUCCCACGGCUCAACCGUGGAAGUGCAUGGGAAACUGCAGAGCUUGAGUACUUAAGAGGAUCGCGGAAUUCCCGGUGUAGAGGUGAAAUUCGUAGAUAUCGGGAGGAACACCAGUGGCGAAGGCGGCGAUCUGGGAAGAUACUGACGCUGAGGUGCGAAAGCGUGGGGAGCAAACAGG